GCCGCGGUGGUCUAGCGGUUAGAACGCUGGCCUUGUAAUCCUGGGGUCUCGGGUUCGAUUCCCGGCGGUGACC
rnacentral:tRNA from 1 species